AAUAUUGACUGACAAUUCAAGAGUUAGAUUGCAUAUAAGUUUGCAAAAUAUUCAAAAAUAAGUACAGUCCCAAAUAUUCUGAAGGUGAAGAUCAACCAAUACUCAGUCUUAACUGCUUUCAUCUCCCAUUUGAUCAUUUUCUUCACCUACAAAUUCAAAACAUAACGAUAUAUAGUAUGAAAUUUUAGAUGAUAAAAACUAAUGCAUAUAAGUUAAUAUCAAAUCAAAUAUAUAGGCAACUAUAUAAUAGUUUAUAUCAAAUCAAAUAUAACAGAUUAACAACGUGCACCCUAUCAGAAGAGUUUUAUACCACUGAAAAAUGCCAACGCCUUUGCAUUUGUCCUCAAGAAUCAAAAAAAUUACAUCAUAAGUAUAUUGAAAUAAAAAGAGUUCCAAUUAAAACAAUCAUGUUCACUAUUUCAGUAGACAUUUUCAGUUUCUUGAAGGAAAUCUCCUUAAACCAGCAUAUCUUGGGUCCUCUCCAUCUUAGCUGCUGCAGAUGAAUCAAGUUAUAAUUCAUGAAGAUCACUAUAAUAGAAAUUAUGCAAGUCCGACUUAAUUUUCAGUAAGAAUGCCAGUGUAUUAAUGUUGUAGAUCCGUAAACAUAUUUGUACUAUAAACCAUUGGUUUUCCUGUAACACAAAAAAGUUGCAUAUUUUAUCUAAUAUGCUGCUCUUUUGUAUAUCACCAUUUGAACUACGAUCUUGUCACCAAUAGCCAUAGCACACUCUAAUCCUG
rnacentral:lncRNA from 1 species